UGGGGAAUAUUGCACAAUGGGCGCAAGCCUGAUGCAGCCAUGCCGCGUGUAUGAAGAAGGCCUUCGGGUUGUAAAGUACUUUCAGCGGGGAGGAAGGCGAUAAGGUUAAUAACUUUGUCGAUUGACGUUACCCGCAGAAGAAGCACCGGCUAACUCCGUGCCAGCAGCCGCGGGAAUACGGAGGGUGCAAGCGUUAAUCGGAAUUACUGGGCGUAAAGCGCACGCAGGCGGUCUGUCAAGUCGGAUGUGAAAUCCCCGGGCUCAACCUGGGAACUGCAUUCGAAACUGGCAGGCUAGAGUCUUGUAGAGGGGGGUAGAAUUCCAGGUGUAGCGGUGAAAUGCGUAGAGAUCUGGAGGAAUACCGGUGGCGAAGGCGGCCCCCUGGACAAAGACUGACGCUCAGGUGCGAAAGCGUGGGGAGCAAACA
rnacentral:rRNA from 1 species